GUCAGAUUCUGCAGUGUAUUAUUGUGCUGCUGUGUUUCUUCAUGAGGUCACCUUCGGGAAUGGAACCUUUGUCAUAAUCACAGGUAAAGACUCCAACAGCAGGACUGUGGUACAGCAGCCUGUGUCUGACACAUUGCAGCCAGGAGACUCUGUGAGCCUGCAGUGUACGAUAGAGACUGGGAGCUGUGCAGGAGAACACAGUGUUUACUGGUUCAGACAUGGAUCAGGAGAAUCCCUUCCUGGAGUCAUUUACAGCCAUGGAAACAGCAGUGAUGAGUGUGAGAAGAGCCCUGAGGCUGGAUCUCCUACACGGAGCUGCGUCUACAGCCUCCCCAAGGGGAACCUCAGCCUCUCCGAUGCUGGGACUUACUACUGCGCUGUGGCCAUGUGUGGGGAGAUGCUGUUUGGGAACGGCACAUAGCUGGAUAUAGAUGGCUUUCAGAAGCUGCUGGAUCCUCUUCACUCUGGCUUGCUGAUAGUUUUAUCUUGCAGCAUUAUUCUGAACGUUGCUCUCAUUUGUAUAAGAUGUAAACUGACCUGUACACACUGUGCAGAUGAAAAGAACAGUGAUAUAUCAAAAGUGGAAUGGUCACGCAAGCAAUGCCAUGACGAGGACACACUGAAUUACGCUGCCCUGAACCUUAAGAAGCCAAAACCCAGGAGACAGAAGAAAGACGGGAAUAAUGACACUCUGUAUUCUGACCUCCGCUACAGAGAUUAUGAAUAAAGAUGCUUCUCAUUCAUGUCAGUCACACAGAGUGUUCAGGGUGUAGCUUUAAUAAUGUUCAGAGGAGGGCAGGGGAGCCAGUGCUUCUGAGACUGAAUCACGGGAUUUUACGGAGUACCGGUGCUGAGUUUGGUGUCAGUGUGUUUGGGGCGCAUUUUUACUGGAAGUGCAAAUGUUCAAGCCAGACUGGGGGCUGAGGGAGGGGGAGAGGGGAGCCACAGAGAUUAUUUCUUCAUGGCAUGGGGGGGAAUAAGCGGCUUUAAUGUUGUGGAAAGGCUGAGUUGCUGCAAUCAGUUCUUUGAUGUCACACAUGCUUACUUGUCUCCCUUGUGUACCAUGCUGAAUGGUUUGGGGCAAACGCACAGGGACUGAUCGAUUAUAUUAAACAGAUGAAAGAAACUGAAUGAAAAUUUCAAGUGUUCUUAAAUUACGUUUUUCAUUUAAUUGUGUGUUCUGGAUGUAUUUUUGAGUAUAUACAUGUACCUGUAUAUGUACCUGUAUAUAUACCUGUGUCGUUAAUAACGAUGUGGAUAAUUAAGAAAGAGGAGUUUUGUUUCUUGCUCCCUGUCUUGUUACUUGGCUCACAAACAUACACACACAUAGACACACACACAAACAUACACAGACACACAAACACACACACACAUAGACACACACACACACAAACACACA